rnacentral:rRNA from 1 species
UACGAAGGGGGCUAGCGUUGCUCGGAAUUACUUGGCGUAAAGCGUGCGCAGACGGUUGCGUAAGUCAGAUGUGAAAGCCCCGGGCUCAACCUGGGAAUUGCAUUUGAGACUGCGUAGCUAGGGUGCGGAAGAGGGAAGCGGAAUUUCCGGUGUAGCGGUGAAAUGCGUAGAUAUCGGAAGGAACACCAGUGGCGAAAGCGGCUUCCUGGUCCAGCACCGACGUUCAGGCACGAAAGCGUGGGGAGCAAACAGG